rnacentral:rRNA from 1 species
UACGGAGGGGGCAAGCGUUGUUCGGAAUUACUGGGCGUAAAGGGCGCGCAGGCGGCUGCUCAAGUCAGGCGUGAAAGGCCUGGGCUCAACCCGGGAAUUGCGCUUGAGACUGGGCUGGCUUGAGUGCGGGAGAGGAUGGUGGAAUUCCCAGUGUAGAGGUGAAAUUCGUAGAUAUUCGCAAGAACACCAGUGGCGAAGGCGGCUUACUGGUCCGGUUCUGACGCUGAGGCGCGAAAGCGUGGGGAGCAAACAGG